rnacentral:piRNA from 1 species
UGAAUGAUGGCCUCUUCCUGUGUGA